rnacentral:lncRNA from 12 species
CACGGGCCUGGGUGGGUUUUCGGCGGGAAGCCCAGGAAUUCAUAGAGCUGAACAGGAAGCACGUAGUCCAUAGUGGCAGUGGGCAGAAAAGCUGGCAAGGACAAAGAGGACACUGGCCUCUGAAACAACCCAGUGGCUGUUUCUGGUCUCCUGAGCGGUGUUCCACUGCAUUUCCAUGGAGGUACCAAAAGCGCUGCUGGCCGUGUCAGUGUCACACAUCGAGCACUCCCAUCCUAUGUAUGGGUGCAUAAAUCAUUCGACCGCUCCGAAGCAAUGGUGAGGUCAUCAGACGUCUUUUCCAACCUUAAUGACCCCGAGGCUGGCUCGGUUACAGCGUGGUGGCGAUAAGGAUUCUGUGAUUCCAAGCUGCGGAGAGAAUGUGACUGAGCAUGGCAGCGCCAGCACAGCUGCUCCAAGGAUGUGUUCCCGCUGCAUUCCCGCUGCCUCCGGCUGUCCCGGGGCACGUUGCGAGCAGCCACGCUGCUGUGCUCAGCCCCACGGCCACUGUCUCCUGCCCAGCGCUGAGGUGUCAGGUUCUACACCUCUGCACAAAUUGAAGAGUCACAUGAGACCUGAGUGGAUAAACCAAUUUUCUGCCAUUUGCAUGGAUUGGAGGAACAGUAGAGGGGAUGGUUUUCAAAGUAUCUGGCUCCCAGGAGUUACCUUUACAAAAGCCCUUGCCUCUGCAAUGCCUGAUGAUGAGUGUGGUCUAGAAGGCUAUGGAAGAGCAGAGUACCUUCAUAGGCGUUUACUAUUUCUCUGCUCCCCCCUGGACACAAUGACACUGGGAAAAGACAUGUAGGGAAGGCGAAGCAAGAAGCUGCGGAAGGUGGAGGAGCAGAAGGGUUUCUGAAAGGUGUCAAACACAACCUGCCCACAGCUGUGGUGUCUCUCUGAAACUCUGAGCCACUGUUCUCUUCUACGGUGGGUUAGAAAUCUGACAAAUUCUGCUCAUGGACUGGCCACCUUAAGUUGUUUUUUU